AGGGCAGUAGCUCAAUUGGUAGAGUACCGGUCUCCAAAACCGUGGGUUGGGGGUUCGAGUCCCUCCUGCCCUGCCA
rnacentral:tRNA from 1 species